rnacentral:misc_RNA from 1 species
CUUCAUUGUGGAUCAGCUCACCUCCACGGUUCGGACUCUAUACCGUCUCUUUUUAUUCUCGCGCCGCUCAUCCCGUGUACUUACGUUACGUCCUUUCCCAUCCCCAUCCAGCGCAAUCAUGCAGGGAACGUGGAGUGUCCUCAAGAAGAAUUGCCUGAACUUCGUCCCUGGGCUGGCACUGUUCGCCAGCCAGUCUCGCGAUGCUUUCGCGACGUGGCUGAAGAUCUACAAUCGUGGGUACAAGCACGGCCCGCAGGAAUUCUAUGAGCAGGCUGAGGUGUACACCCCGGACUACUGGAAGCGCGGCCACUCUCAGGACAAGAAUAUGUGGGUGGACAUGAAUCUUAGCGAGGAGGUGUCGCAGAAGGAGCUUGCGCAGCUGAUGCAUUACAAGCACGACCUCUGGCGCAUGGGCCACGGCCUUGGCCUCGGCCUGUUCCUCGGCGGCUACGCACUCAUCCCGGCCUUCUUUUGGCUAUCGAGCGACACCUUUGCCCCGUCAUGCUUCUGCAAGACCGAGGAGGAGAAGAAAGCCUGGCGUGAGGCGCAGGACAUGUACCGCUACCGCAGCGCCCCGUCCUACAUCAUGGACACUAAGUGGUACUUCGACUUCCACGCGUACCCGUGGAACGCGACGCAGGAGCGCGCCUGGGACGACCUGUUUGAGAAGAACAACGUGCGCCGCGACCCGAAGUUGCUGCGCCCGGCCGCUGAGAUGUACGACGGAUUUCUGAAGUUCUACCAGAUACGCCGCAAGUCGCUCCGCCACCUCGCGCGCAGCAUGAACCUCCCCACCUUCCCGCUUCUGAGUCGCACGUGCGCCAGCACCCGCGUAAGGGACUACUGGAACCUGGCGUGGAACGAGGACUACAUGGUGAUAACGCAGAAGCUGCACCACCAGAUGUCGGACGAGGACCUGCAUGACUACGCGUGGCGUCGCUUCCUAGCCCCGUACGACAAGAACCUUUCGCGCGACGAGAUCAUGACGCGCGUCAACGACUACCACGAGUUCCUUGGCCCCAAGUUUGUGGAGGAAGGCAAGGCCCCGAACCUGAUCAUCCUGACCAACUACGUGCUCGGCUACUACAACGACCCGGCGUACCUCGUGGAGGAUAUUUCCGCGUUGGAUGGCAACGACUUCGAGUACAUGGCGCAUUACGGCAAGGAUGCCUUCCUGCGCCGUCUCGAGUUCGAGAACGGCCCGCUGCGUGACCAGGUUGAGGCCCACACGCAGAAGCUGAUCGCCGAUCGCGCGGCUGCCGCGGCGGCGGAGGCGACGGCCAAAGCACCGCAGGUGACGGCGUAGGCGAGCCGGGGAAGACGAAGCGAGCAGGCAAAAGGAUUGACGUUUAUGCGCGUGUGUAGCCGGCGCCCGCGGCAGCGACAGAAGGGGGUGCCAACGAGGGCUGCGAGGGCUGCAGAACGCUGGGUAGGCUACCGUGACAGAGCCAAGUGAGGAGGUUGGCGGGGGGGGGCAGAGAUGCUGCCGUUGACCUAUUACGCCAUCCUGCGUGUGCGUCUCCCCUCUUCGUGCCUCCCGCCCCACCUCUCCCGUAGCGCAUACCUCUCCCUUUCCCCCAAUGCAGAAAAGAUGUUUGCCUUGUCGCUGACGGUAGCCGCCAGCACUGGCCACUCCGCCCCUCCCCCCUCUCUCUUGCUUUGCGCUCUCAGCGCUGCGUGAGGGAGAGAGAGCUUGUGCGUGUGCGUGUGCGUGUGCGUGCUCAAUUUCCCGGCUUCGGUGGCUCCUCAUCUCUCCUUGUCUUGCAUUCGGCUCCGCAGCCGUUCUGUUGCCUCUGUCUUCCCUGUUUGUACUUGAUUAUAUCUAGGAAGUAGGCUUUAACAACGAGAAAGACGGCAUCCAGUUCUUACAUGUAGUGUGUGCGUGUGGACGUGCCCUCCCCUCCACGUCGAUGCGCACGCACCUUCUCGCGUGUCGCUCUUCGCUCCGUCUCCCGCCUUUUUCUUUCGCGGUUUAGUGUUUCCCUGUUAUUCUCGUUUGUAUCGCCGGAAGCGAUGCCCACGGCACCCACCCACGCACGGGCAGCAAUGAUAGCGCAGCGUAGGGGAUGGGGAGGCGGCCUUUUCAUGGGAGGGGGAGACGGGGGUAGCGGCAUCGCGUGGCUGCAUUUUCCGUCUUUCGGCCUCUGACCUGCCCUGUCGCCGUUGUCUUUUCAUCCCCGUUGCCGUGAGAGUGCCUUUGUGUUUGUGUGUGUGUUUAUCCGUGUGCCAUGUGCGUGCGAUCGGUGUGGGCGUGUGCGUGAUGUUGUGGGAAGGCUGAACCUCUCUCUUGUAGUGUAGCACAGACUAU